GUGGGGGGUUAUGCUCCCCAAGGGGACGAUGGUACCCGACUUGAGGGGUGAUCGGCCAACUGGGACUGAACCCGGCCCAGAUUCCUACGGGAGGCAGCAGUAGGGAUCUUCCGCAAUGGACGAAAGUCUGACGGAGCAACGCCGCGUGAAUGAUGAAGUUUUCGGAUCGUAAAGCUCUGUUGUUAGGGAAGAACAAGUGCGAGAGUAACUGCUCGCACCUUGACGGUACCUAACCAGAAAGCCACGGCUAACUACGUGCCAGCAGCCGCGGUAAUACGUAGGUGGCAAGCGUUGUCCGGAAUUAUUGGGCGUAAAGGGCUCGCAGGCGGUUUCUUAAGUCUGAUGUGAAAGCCCCCGGCUCAACCGGGGAGGGUCAUUGGAAACUGGGAAACUUGAGUGCAGAAGAGGAGAGUGGAAUUCCACGUGUAGCGGUGAAAUGCGUAGAGAUGUGGAGGAACACCAGUGGCGAAGGCGACUCUCUGGUCUGUAACUGACGCUGAGGAGCGAAAGCGUGGGGAGCGAACAGGAUUAGAUACCCUGGUAGUCCACGCCGUAAACGAUGAGUGCUAAGUGUUAGGGGGUUUCCGCCCCUUAGUGCUGCAGCUAACGCAUUAAGCACUCCGCCUGGGGAGUACGGUCGCAAGACUGAAACUCAAAGGAAUUGACGGGGGCCCGCACAAGCGGUGGAGCAUGUGGUUUAAUUCGAAGCAACGCGAAGAACCUUACCAGGUCUUGACAUCCUCUGACAACCCUAGAGAUAGGGCUUUCCCUUCGGGGACAGAGUGACAGGUGGUGCAUGGUUGUCGUCAGCUCGUGUCGUGAGAUGUUGGGUUAAGUCCCGCAACGAGCGCAACCCUUGAUCUUAGUUGCCAGCAUUCAGUUGGGCACUCUAAGGUGACUGCCGGUGACAAACCGGAGGAAGGUGGGGAUGACGUCAAAUCAUCAUGCCCCUUAUGACCUGGGCUACACACGUGCUACAAUGGACAGAACAAAGGGCUGCAAGACCGCAAGGUUUAGCCAAUCCCAUAAAUCUGUUCUCAGUUCGGAUCGCAGUCUGCAACUCGACUGCGUGAAGCUGGAAUCGCUAGUAAUCGCGGAUCAGCAUGCCGCGGUGAAUACGUUCCCGGGCCUUGUACACACCGCCCGUCACACCACGAGAGUUUGCAACACCCGAAGUCGGUGAGGUAACCUUUAUGGAGC
rnacentral:rRNA from 1 species